CCUACGGGUGGCAGCAGUGAGGAAUAUUGGUCAAUGGCCGGAAGGCUGAACCAGCCAUGCCGCGUGAAGGUCAGUGCCCUAUGGGCGUUAAACUUCUUUUGUGCGGGAGCAAUAAUGGUCACGUGUGGCCAGACGAGAGUACCGUACGAAUAAGCAUCGGCUAACUACGUGACAGCAGCCGCGGUAAUACGGGGGGUGCAAGCGUUAUCCGGAUUUAUUGGGGUUAAAGGGUGAGUAGGCUGUGAGGUAAGUCAGCGGUGAAAUGCCCCCGCUCAACGGGGUGAAGUGCCAUUGAUACUGCCUUGCUGGAAUGCGGAUGACGUGGGAGGAAUGUGUGGUGUAGCGGUGAAAUGCAUAGAUAUCACACAGAACACCGAUUGCGAAGGCAUCUCACGAAUCCGCGAUUGACGCUGAUGCACGAAAGCGUGGGUAUCAAACAGGAUUAGAUACCCUGGUAGUC
rnacentral:rRNA from 1 species